CUUCAGCAGAACCCAACCAUUCUUGAAACUUGAUCUUGGAUUUCCAGCCUCCAGAACCCGCUGGCUGCCGCAGUGAUUUCAACUUGUGACUCUGCUUCGGUGACGAUUCUGAAG